AGCUCUAAGGGAGCCGGUCCCAGGAUUUUCCAGCGGCCAGAGGUCACCGGUCCUUCCUGUAGCCCCUUCCUGCAGUCCCUUCCUGCAUCCUGGCUGUGAGCCCAGGCUUCUCUUGUCUUCCAUGUGGUGGGGCUUUGCUCUCUGGUUCCCCUGGCUCCCUCUGCCAUUUUCCAGGCUGUGGUUACACUGGCCUGAUCUGCAUGCAGGAAAAGUCAUUACUUGCCCAUGAACAGCUGAUUUGUAGCCUCAGUUUCCGUUUUCCAGGGACCAUAUUCACAGGCUUCAAGGUUUAAGAUGUGGACAUCUUGAAGGGCCUUCACUUUGCCCUCCAAUCUUCCAGUUAAGGGACUCUGGGAAAAGGCAAGGUCCCACCAAAAAGACAUUUUGGUUAGUAAAGAGAAGUCUGCCUUCCACUUAGGGCCUGAAAUCCAUGUUCCUUGGGGUUGAGCCUCUGCAGCUCUCUGGAUAAGCCAGAACUCCACCACCACCAUAACCACUCUGCCAGCUAGUACACACUAAGAGAGAGGUUUGCGAGCAAGCACAGAUGACAGCCUGCAGAAGUGUUUCCAUACCCCGGGAUGUCCCUCUGCUAUCCUGUUUCCCAGGAGGAUCUUGUCAGGUGACCAUGAAGGCCAGAGGUGUGGAAUCCCCUGGAGCUGGAGUUUCAGAUGGGCGCAGCUGCUCUUUGUGGCACUGAACUAGGUAGGGUUCUUUAAAGAGCAGGAUACCAUCCUAACUGCUGAGACAUCUCUCCAGCCCAACAGACUUUCUCUGUGUAGCGCUGCCUGGCUGUCCUGGAACUU